UGCACCUCUAUUUCCGAUAAUGAGGCCGAGAUUGCACGUUUGUCCACGUUGCGGUCAGAUGUAUGCCUGGGCAUCGAAUCUGAGAAAACAUCUGAAGAUGGGAUGCGGAAUGGUGACCUUCGAGACUCACUUCUCCUGUCAGUACUGCCCUUAUAGGUCGAGGAUCGAGGCCAGCUUCUUGAAACACCUGUUGUCGGUCCAUAACAUCAAGUAGACCGAUGCUAUCUCGCGUUGAAACGUCUCGCGUAAAGUGUGUUGUCUUUUUUGUCUUCUUUCUUUUUUUUUUGUUUUUUAUUAUUACUUUCUUUUUUUUUUUAUUAGGUUUCGUUUUUGUUUUCUGAUUAUUUUCUUUUUCUCGCGAAAAAGAAAAAUGAGAGAAAAUCGACAAAAGAAACAGAAGUUUUUUUAUAGAAGUUUAUGUUCGUGCAAUUAGAGUAAGGAGAGAGAGAGAGAGAGAGAGAGUUUUAAUAAUCGCCUAAGAAAUAAUUCAUUUCGCUAAGAAUCAUAUAGACAAGUUCCUUUUUUCGUGUGAUAGCUCGCGUUAAUCUUCUUUUUUCAUUUUUGUUAUUUUAUUUUAUUUUAUUUUAUUUUUUCUUUUUAAUAUUUAUUUAUUUCAUUUUUUUUUAUUUGAUGGAACUCGAUGAUCGAUCCUCGAACACCUGAUCAAAUUUAUCAUUUUAAUUAUUUAUAUAUAUAUAUUUUUUUGAAUUAAGAUUAUUUAAUUCUUAUAUUAUUUUCAAUUGAUCUCGAAAUAUUAUGCGUUUAGACUGAUUUCAGGAUCGAUUAUAAGAUUUGUAGAAACAAACUAACCGAGACUAUACGAGAGAAUUUUAAUCAGGAUCACAUUUAUAUUUUUGGAGGCCCAAGCGCAAUAUUAUUAUUACCAGAACGAGGCUCCAAGUUUGGGCUUUAUUAUAAAUGCGGUCCUGACAUUAACGAAACUUGUGUGCGCUUUGCAAUUAUUUAGCCGUGCACUAUAUAUCGUUAUUAAUAUAAUCUCGAUCGCUAGUCACGUGCUGAAAGUCCUAUAAAAUUUUUCCUAAUCGAUGUACGUCGAAUAUAUUUGUAAGAAGUUAACAUUUUUUUUUUUCUUUUUUCUAACGGCAAUAGAAACGAAUCACUCGUUUUAGUCAUGAUCCGUUUUCUUUAAGAGGACAAAUAAUCGUUUUAUAUUUUGUCAUGUGAUUUUAAGAAAACAGCUGAUCGUCGUUGUGGUUUUUUUUUCGUUUCUUUUUUCUUGUUUUAUGUUAUUUUAUUUUAUUUUAUUUUUAAUUUUCUUGUCUCUUGUUUUUGUGAUAUUUGUAUAUACGUACGUGUAGCACUUACUAGUCCCGUUCGAUUUAAUUCUCCUUCAAAAUAGAAAAAAAAGAAUUUUUAAAAAAGAAUAAAAAUUGUUAAGUACGAAAAAAGAAAACGUAUUUCUUUACACAGGUGUGUGUUUACAAAUCCGAAUAUUGAAGAUUCUAAUUAUUGCUUAAGACAAUAAAUUUUUCGUACACGUUAGAUUUUGCUUCUUUUUUCUCUUUGUUUUUUUUUUCUUUUAAGUGGAAAAAAAAGGAUAAAAAUCGAGAUAAAAAUGAAAUUCAUAGUUUAUUCAUAGAAAUUUCUCAAACUAUUAACUUCAUAUUAUCCUCAGUUUAUAUACUUGGAGAACUUCGAUUUCAUUUAUUAAAAAAAAAAAAAUCGUAGUUUAUUUACAAACUUACAGUUCGUAUUAAAAAGAAAAGAAAUCUAUAUUAUAUCUGCUAUCAUUUAUUUCAUACGAAAAAUAUAAAUUCAGUAUUAAUCAAUAUUCGUACGUGCCAUUUAUAUUUUAAUAAAGGACACACACGCGUAAAGUAAAACAUGUUUUCUAAAUUUUAUCGUAUUUAACAAGACAAAUACUUUUGAAGGAUGAUUGAAUCGUCUUGAUAAAAAUAAAUGAAGAAGAUGAAGAAGAAUAAGAAUAAGAAGAAGAAGAAGAAGAUGAAAAGAGAAAGUGAAAGAAGAAGAAAUGAAUAAGAAAAAAGUAAAAAAAGAAAAAAAAAAGAAAAAAAAAAUAAAUCUCAUCGAUAUGUCGCGAUUAGAAAGGAGGUGUCUUAGAUAUAAAGAUUUUAUAACGCACGCUGUAGGAUCUCGCUCGUUUAUUCGAUAGUCUUAUUAGAUAAAUAAUAUGUCGACAUAGUGAUUACAUUUCGAAGUAAUUAUAUUACGUCGUGUAACCAUCGAUCGACGAUCGUUCUGCAUAUUACGAUGAAUUGGUGACGGUCGAUUAAAUUGAAAAAAAAUAAAUAAAUAAAAAACAUAUUUAAAAAUUAAUAAUAAUGAUAAUGAUGACGAUGACGAUGAUGAUGAUGAUGAUAAUGAUAGUGAUGAUGAUGAUGAUGCUGAUACUGAUGAUGAUGAUGCUGAUGAUGAUGAUGAUGAUGAUGAUUAUGAUUAAUUUUUAGAACUUGUUUAAUCGACCGAUACCAUAUUAGACACGUAAGAAUUAAUUAAUUAAUUAAUUACGUAAACCUCUAUCUAACGAGAAUCAAAUCUAGAGCUUUUCGUUGUUGUUGUUGUUUCUUUUUUGUUGUUGUUGUUUAUUUUAUUUUUAUUUUCUUUUUCUUUUACCUUUUUAAUUUUUCUUUUAUAUACUUUGUUUUAUUUUGUUAUAUCUUAGAAUUAAGAGAAGACGAUUACGGAAGAUCAGAUAUCUUUUUCUUUUUUUCUUUUCUUUUUCUUUUCUUUCCUUUUGAUUUACAUGUUUACGAAAAAAAGUAAGAAGAAAUGAAAAGAGAAAGAAGAGAUUUGAUUUCUUCAAUCGAUUUUUUCCUCGAAACUUCCGAAAGUUCCUGUCUCGUCCUAUCGAGAGUAACUAAUGAUCGAUUCUUUUUUCUUUUUUUUUCCUUGUUCCUUUAUUUUUAUACAAUUUGUCGACUAAUUAAUUCGAAGCGGCGAAUAUCAAAAGAAAUAAUAAGGAAUAAUUAAAAAAAAAAAAAUGCAUUGAAUAAAAAUAAAAAUAAUAGUUCAAGUAUCGCAUGUAAAACUAUUAUACGAGAUAUGGAGCGUAUCAGAUUAUCUCUAAUCUUUAAAAUAAACAAAAAAGCAGAACCUGUAGGAAAAGAAAAAAAAGAAACUCUGCGAAACUGAAAAAAAUAUUCCUGAAAACUAAAUCGUUUAAAAAAGAAUUAGAACUUCAAACGAGAAUAGAGAGAGAAAGAGAGAGAGAGAGAGAGAGAGAAAGAGAGAGGGUGUGUGUGUGUGUGAGAGAGAGAGAGAGAUUUAACGAUGCGAAGAAAUUAGAAUGAAACUUCGUACAUAUAAAAAUUCAUAAGGAUUUUAUGAUACCCAUUUUAUUAGCCGGCUUUUUACAAAUCGUUCUCAAGAAAAUGAAAGAAAAAAGAAAAAGGAGUAUUAAAAGAUAAUCGAAAAAAAAGGAACACAAUUAUCCUUUCACGUAAACGUAAGCCUUUCGAGUAAGUGAUUUACGAGAUCAAUUUGAUAAAUUCGCGGCUUUUUUGCCUGUGUAUGUUUUAUUUUUUAGUAUCUAUAUAUAUACAUAAAUAUAUAUAUAUAUAUAAAUUUCAUUCUUAAAGUAAAAAGAAAAAAGGCGCGAGUUUCUCAAAUUGCCCUGGUAUCAAAGAAAGAAAAAAAGAAAAAAAGACGGUGACCUUGAGCUUUACGCUUUUUUUUCUAAUAUUUCAUCCUAAUAAUUAUAAUAAUAUUAAUAUUAAUGAUAAUAAUAAUAAUAAUAAUAAUAAUAAUUAUAAUAAUAAUAAUAAUAAUAAUAAAAUAAUAAAAAAUAAUAAUAAUAAAAUAAUAAUAAUAAUAAUAAUAAUAAUAAUAAUAAUAAUAAUAAUAAUAAUAAUAAUAGUAAUUAAUAAUACUAUGACUACUAAUAAUAAUAAUGAUAAUAAUAUAAAAAAAAAUUGUCACUGCUCGAACGGCCGAUUUUAUUGAAAGUCAUACGAAAUUUUAUUCGUUCGUAUCUUCUGAUCAUUAUUGUCGAAUUAAUGAAAAAAAUAACACUACGGAUUAGAUUAUUAAACGGAUUAGAAAAGUAAAAAAAAAAAAAUAAACUGUAGAUUGUACAUAAACGGAUAUGAAAUCGAAAAAAAAGAAGAAAAUAUUAAUAAGUAACAUGUGAGCGAGUAUAUGUGUGUAUGCGAAUGAGUGAAAAGGUAAAACGAAGAGAAGGAAGAUAAAGAAAAAAACCAAAUUUGAAUUCUAAUCUUCGACGAGGAAGAAAUAUCAUCGUUGUAUCAUUUAUCGACGAUAGUUAUAUACAUAUAUAUAUAGAAAGAGAGAGAGAGAGAGAGAGAGAGAGAGAGAGAGAGAGAGAGAGAGAGAGAGAAAGAGAGCUAGAAAAAGAGAGACAGAUGAAUAAAAAAAUAAAAAAUUUUUAAAGACAGCGCGAUCAAAGAAAAAAAUAACAAAAAAAAAGAAAGGAAAAAAAAAUAUCUCCAGUCGCGUUUUUCGUCACGCGUUGUUUCAUUUUCGUAAAGAAAGAAGGAAAUAAGGAAAGAAAGAAAAAAAGAGAUAAAGAAAAAAAGGAAGGUCGUAUUAUUCGAUUAGACUUAUCGUCGAUUAGAAAAAUCUGUAAUCGCGAUUUCACUCUUUAUACAUCUUCGUCGCUCGUUUUAGAUCAAUAGAUCGAUAGAUCCAAGCGCGAUCGAUCGUCGAUCGUGUCGCUCAAACGGUUUAAGUGUGUCUGUGUAUAACGAUGUUCCGCAUUAAAUCAACAUAAAAAUUGCUUUUUUUUUAGUUUUUUUGAAUAAACACCUGUAAAUAUAUAUAUAUAUAUAUAUAUAUAUAUAUAUAAAAUAUCUAUGAAAGAUAGCCGAGACACCAAGAUUUUUUUCAGAAAAAAAAAGAAAAAAAAAUGAAAUUUUUCUCCUGUCGUUGGAGGGAUGGUGGUGGAAGGGUUUGGGGUGGGUUGGGGGUUUAUGGGAAGCAAGGGCAAGAAAAGAAAAAAGAAAAAAAAAAAGAUGGCGACCUUGGAGAAACGGUGAAUCUUCUUAGCUCGUUCGAAGGAUCCUGAAUGGUAAUGGCCGUGAGUCAAGAACAGUUUGGUUAAGAACAAUUAAAGAAGAAAAAAAAAAAACAGAAGAAAAAAAUUGCUCUUAAUCGUCAAACGAUUUUCGAAUUUUUCUUUUUUUUUUGGAGGCUUUUUGAUGUCCUUUCUUUUUUUCUUUUGUUUUUGUUUAUCAUUAAACAGAGAAAAGUGACUAACUUAUUCAUACUCUCACUGGCUUGCCGAAUUCAUCGGAGUACUUGGUCUCACAUUGGAUCGUAUCGUCUCAGAAGAAUAAAAUGAAGAUUAAGAAGACGAAUGAUUCGACAUCUGCGACAACAGAGGAAAGAAGUAAUCGUAGAUUGAUCGAGCAACAUUACGUGAAAUUUCAUGGUAGAUCGAGAAGAUCGAGCGAUUAUGUUUGUUCUAAUUGUGGCAAGUCAUUCGUUAAUUGUGCACGGCUUAAAUCACAUAGAAGACGUUAUUGCGGUGUUAUGGCAAAUGUAGCUUGUAAAUAUUGCGAUCAUCGUACCAAACGUGUAUGGGAUAUGAAAGUUCAUCUUAGUGGCGUACACGGUAUUCAUAAAAAUUCGACAGAGAUCGUUAGUCAUCUCGUUAAGAUCGACAAAAGUUGAAAUACAAAUUCGACUAUUCUUUUUCUUUUCUUUUUUUCUUUUCUUUAACAACAAAAAUAUUAAUUGUCCAAUUGAAAUAGGAACAAAGAUGUGGUUUCAAACAUUUUGAAACAAACAUUGGCUUUUUUCUUCCUAUUUUUCUUUUUCUUAUUUAUUUAUUUAUUUUCUUUUUCUUUUUUAAUGAACAAUGAUGAAUUAAUAUUACUGUCAGGAUUAUUAUUUACUAUCACUGCUAUUUUUUAGUGUUACGGUCUUAAAUAAUUUCAUCAGCUAUUUUCUUUUCUUGUUGUUUCUUAAUUUUCUUACUUACAGAAGUUGAACAACCGACAAUCCAAAAGAGACGUAUCAAUGUUUUAUCUGAGAUUAAUAAAAAUUAUUUGUAAAAUGCAUUGUAUCAUGACGAACAAUAAAUAUUUCAUUUCCUCGUCGUAAU